GUCUACGGUCAUGCCACCCUGAACAAGCCCGAUAUCUGAUCUCAGAAGCUAAGCAGGGCCGGGCCUCGAUAGUACUUGGAUGGGAGACCACCUAGGAAGACCAGGUGCUGUGGGCA
rnacentral:rRNA from 1 species